rnacentral:miRNA from 1 species
GCAGACACAUGCCAGCCAAUCAGCAGCAGACCCUCCCUCCCGGGCCCUCCCACCUUCUGGACAGCUCACUAAGAAUGCAGCUUCACAAUGAAUGUAAAAUGGAUGCUGUCCAGGAGGUGGGAGGGUCUGGGAGGGAGGGUCUGCUGCUGAUUGGCUGGCAUGUGUCUG